rnacentral:rRNA from 1 species
UACGUAGGGUGCAAGCGUUAAUCGGAAUUACUGGGCGUAAAGCGUGCGCAGGCGGUUGUGCAAGACAGAUGUGAAAUCCCCGGGCUCAACCUGGGAACUGCAUUUGUGACUGCAAGGCUGGAGUACGGUAGAGGGGGAUGGAAUUCCGCGUGUAGCAGUGAAAUGCGUAGAUAUGCGGAGGAACACCGAUGGCGAAGGCAAUCCCCUGGACCUGUACUGACGCUCAUGCACGAAAGCGUGGGGGAGCAAACAGG